rfam:Microgenomates (Woesebacteria) bacterium GW2011_GWA1_41_13b TT42_C0003, whole genome shotgun sequence.
GCAGAAGUGGCGGAACUGGCAGACGCGCAGGCCUCAGAAGCUUGUGGACCUAAUACGUCCUUGGAGGUUCGACUCCUCUCUUCUGCA